UCCCACCUUCCCCUCGGUCGCCGAGGGUAAUUUCGUCAUUCACUAUCUCUGCACUCCGUCCGUCCCCGGACCCGGCGCGUCGUCUUGUGAUCAUCGUUUAAAAUUCCCCUUUUUAUUUCCCCGUCAAAUUCGAAACCGACACCUCUUGCCCAACCCAAAACAACGGCCGCGAUGCGCCUGCCGACGAGCCCAUCCGAGACACACCGCGUGGUCUUGACGCUGACGCUAGCACGAACCGGCCCGCGCGCUAACGUCGGCGCUCGCACGCGCCCCCCACCCCCACACCGGCGACCGCCCGUACUCGCACAUGCGCCCCAUCCCAGCCGGCGCCCCCCUUCUUUACAUAACCCUACAUUCAUCCCCCCUUCCUCCUAUUCCCUUUCCCCACCAUCAAAGCCGCCGACACACCGAGCGGUAGAGAGAGAAUAAUAGGGUUGCCAAUAGAUUUCGGGAAGAGGGUUGGGAAUAGAGAGAUCGGGAAUUGAUGGAGGGAAGGGAGAUGAAGCCGCCGCCGCCGAACCCGGCGAUGCCGUACCGGGAGGACUGCUGGAGCGAGGGGGCGACGGAGGCGCUGAUCGAGGCGUGGGGGGACCGCUACCUCGAGCUCAACCGGGGGAAUCUCCGCCAGAAGCACUGGCAGGAGGUCGCCGACGCCGUCAACUCACGGCGGGGCGCUGCGCGUCGCCCAUCGCGCACCGACGUGCAGUGUAAGAACCGGAUCGACACACUCAAGAAGAAGUACAAAAUCGAGAAGGCCAAGAUCGCCUCCUCCAACCUCGCCGUCGACAGCCAGUGGAACUUUUACUCCCGCCUCGACACCCUCAUCGGUGACUCCGUCCAGGCCAAGAAGCCCCCGCCCCCGCACCCUUCGUCCCCGCCGCUCGCCCUCCCGCUUCCCUUCCACCGCAAGGGUUCCCCCCUCCCGGCGGCAGCGGCUGCCGCCGCGGCUCGUCCCCUGGACCCGAAGGAGAAGCGCCCCGCAGCCACCGCGCUUCCCGUGGACGACGCGUUCUUCCGGAGGAACUACUCCGCGGCGGCCGCGGCCGCCGCGGAGAGGGAGUCCGAGUCCUCCUCUUCGAGAUCCAGCGUGGAGAGGUCGAGGUCGAGCAGGGAGAGGUUUGCGAGGGGGUGCAAGAGGAGACGGGAGGGCAAUGGAGAGGGAUUCCGGCAGCUGGCGAGGGCGAUUCUGAGGCUGGCGGAGAUCUACGAGAAGGUGGAGGAGGAGAAGCAGCAGCAGAUGAUGGAGCUCGAGAAGCAGCGGAUGGAGUUUGCCAAGGGGCUGGAGUUCCAGCGGAUGCAGAUCUUUGUGGAUUCCCAGGUCCAGCUGGAGAAGAUCAAGCGGUCCAAGCGAAUUGAUCCUGGUGAGCAUGGGUCUUCCUCCGCUGCCAUCUGUUUUCUUUUGGGAUCAGAUGCGUUUAGUAUGUGAAAGAGAGUUACCUACGUUAGAUUUGUGGAAAGAAGCACUCAAACUGGAUGAUGUUCCUUGGAGAUGACCUCAAGUUCAAUGGAAUGGUAUUUGGUUGCCAACCUGAAUUUGGAAGAUGCGAGUUGGCAUUCCCAUUGCUGGCAAUCACAACCUUGAUCCGAAAGCUGUUGGAUUGUGUCUCGGUUGGUGGUUUGGACUGCAUUAUAACAUAGGAAACAUAAUAUGCCGAUCGAGGUUAAAAAACAGGUGCUUGUGGCAAGUACUGUUACAUAAAACUAAUUCAAUUUCUCUCCCCUUUGCGAACAAGCCAUUAUGUGCUAGUUAAAUGAUGUGAAAUUUCUCCAAUAAUCUGUUGAACAAUAUUCAGUUGAAGACCUCUUACUUGUAAAUGCAUCUUGUCACUUUAUAUC